AGAGUUUGAUCCUGGCUCAGGACGAACGCUGGCGGCGUGCUUAAUACAUGCAAGUCGAGCGAGGUUACUGUUUUGGAUCCCUUCGGGGUGAAGAAGCUUUAACCUAGCGGCGGACGGGUGAGUAACGCGUGGGUAACCUACCCCAAAGUCCGGGAUAACAGCGGGAAACCGCUGCUAAUACCGGAUGCCUUUACCUUGGGGCAUCUUGAGGUAAAGAAAGGCAACGCUUUGGGAUGGGCCCGCGUCCCAUUAGCUAGUUGGUGAGGUAACGGCUCACCAAGGCGACGAUGGGUAGCCGGCCUGAGAGGGUGGACGGCCACACUGGGACUGAGACACGGCCCAGACUCCUACGGGAGGCAGCAGUAGGGAAUAUUGCGCAAUGGACGGAAGUCUGACGCAGCGACGCCGCGUGAGCGAUGAAGGUCUUCGGAUCGUAAAGCUCUGUCCUUGGGGAAGAAGGCGAAAGCUUGACGGUACCCAAGAAGAAAGCCCCGGCUAACUACGUGCCAGCAGCCGCGGUAAUACGUAGGGGGCGAGCGUUGUCCGGAAUUACUGGGCGUAAAGGGUGCGUAGGCGGCCCUUUAAGUCGGAUGUGAAAGCCCGCGGCUUAACCGCGGAAUGGCAUUCGAAACUGGAGGGCUUGAGUGUCGGAGAGGGUAGUGGAAUUCCCAGUGUAGCGGUGAAAUGCGUAGAUAUUGGGAGGAACACCAGUGGCGAAGGCGACUACCUGGACGAUAACUGACGCUGAGGCACGAAAGCUAGGGGAGCAAACAGGAUUAGAUACCCUGGUAGUCCUAGCCGUAAACGAUGGGUACUAGGUGUGGGUGGUUUCGAUACCAUCUGUGCCGUAGUUAACGCAUUAAGUACCCCGCCUGGGGAGUACGUGCGCAAGCAUGAAACUUAAAUGAAUUGACGG
rnacentral:rRNA from 1 species